UACGAAGGGAGCUAGCGUUGUUCGGAAUCACUGGGCGUAAAGCGCACGUAGGCGGAUUUGCCAGUCAGGGGUGAAAUCCCGGGGCUCAACCUCGGAACUGCCUUUGAUACAGCAAGUCUUGAGUUCGAGAGAGGUGGGUGGAAUUCCGAGUGUAGAGGUGAAAUUCGUAGAUAUUCGGAGGAACACCGGUGGCGAAGGCGACAUCCUGGACCGGUAUUGACGCUGAGGCGCGAAAGCCAGGGGAGCAAACGGG
rnacentral:rRNA from 1 species